AGGCCGCUGCGGGCCCGCCGCUCUCCGUCGUCCAGCGCAACCCCGGCGCGACCCCCGCCCCCCGGCCGGGGCAGCCGCCGGCCCGUCCGGGCCACGUGACCCAGGCGGCGGUGUAGACCGGCCCAGCGUCCCGGGCCCUGCGCAUGAUGCGCCCAGGUUGGCUCCCGCGCUCUCCUCGGUGCCGUGCGCCCCGGACUCCCUGGGAGACGGGGCUCGGUCCCGGCGCUUCACUCCGACCUCGGGGCGUCUAGCUCCGCCGGCCUUUACCGCGCUCCGUGCGCGGCCUUCCCCUUUUCUUCUCUUCGGGCUUUUGGUCCAGCUCCUCCUUUUCCUCCUGCGACCGGAGCAUCCUGACCCGCCUCACCCCCGGCUGGGUCGGAGUGAUGCUCGUCCCGCAGGUCGGCGCCGCUCACCUCCCUCACCGCCGGCGGCGGGGGCGGGCGGCCGGGCUGGGUCCUGCAGGGCGGUCCGGCCGUCCGACGUGGGCCGCUCCCGGCCUGGGCCGGGCGAGCUUCUGGGCUUGGAAGGCUGGCGUUUUGGGAAAAGUGGGCACCGUGCCAGCCUGCCCCGACGCUUCGCAAUCCUCGACGCCCGGUAGCUGGGCAGUACCUGGACUAGGCAACGGAUCCCCGGAGGCGCCCUCUCCCAGGCCGGGGUUCCCCUUGUCGACGGGACGGGACGGGGGUGUGACGUGAGGCCUUGAGACUCUGGGAGUUGGAGUGGGGGAGCAGGGGGGGUAGAGACGCACCACUGACCUCCCAAGCGCGGUCUUGGCGUCUUCCCUCUUCCUGCUAGAAGCCCCUCACCCUGGAUCUAAGACUCUCCUUCUCUUCCUCCACCUCCCCUAAGUCUCCUUCAAACCCUCACUUGGUCUUGAUCUCUCUCCCCUCGAAAUCUGUUUCUGUCAGUCAGUCUUUGCAAAACCCUAUUUCUCUUUUUGUCUCUGUCUUUGGUCUCUGACCCUCUCCCUCUGCCAGCCUCUUCCUCUCGGUCUCUCUCCGAGAGGUCUCUUUCUCAUUUCAGUCUCUCUGUUCUCCACCUCUCCAUCUCUCUCUCUCUCACACCUUCUCAUUUUCUGUUUUUCCUUCCUGCCUUUUGCUGUCUUAGUCUCUCUGUCUCUCUCUAUUCAUUUCUCUCAUCCUGCAGUUUCUGUCUCCUGGCUAUUUUCACCUUUCCUCUGCCUCUUAAUUUUUGUGCCUUUCUUUGUUUCUGUCUGUUUCUACCUCAUUUUCCAUGUCUCUCUCUCUUACAUGUGGUCUUUCUCAGUCUCCCCAAAGUCAAGUUCUUCUACCCCUGGUCUGGGUGACACUUUCUUCCAGUUCCCAUCCCCCUUCCCUCUGAGCUUGUAACCCCUUUGUGACCUGCUGCCUCCUCGCACACCACCCUCUCCCUCUUCCCACCCACUCCAGGUCGGGCAUGUGGAGAACGAGGCUGGAGGGCUCUCUAGGGCUUAGAGGGGGAGGACCCACCCCCAGGAUCCCGGGAGAGGAGCUGCAUUAAAGACUCCCAUCCCCAUGUGUGUUAGAGAAGCCCUUAGCACAGUGCCUGGCACAGAGUAAGGCUCAGUAAAGUCUCCUUACGUUGUGACUGUUAAUUUUAAAAGCCCCUUGAGGGUUUAGUGUGGUGCUAAGCUAGGGGGAAGAGUCCAGCGGGAGGGUGCAGAGGAAGUAGAGAACAGGUGCCUCCUCUGUCAGUUUGUCAGGCAGGGCUGAGGGGAGGAGCCUGCAGGAAUGCUAAGGACUUGGAGGAGCGGGCUCUGGGCUCUGUGGCAGCUAAGAUGCCAAAGAAAACAAGGGCUAAAGAAACCCCGCUAUUGUUCCUGCCCAGCUCUGGCAUUUCCUGCUGGAGCAGCUCCUCCCCCAGGUCUCUCCUCUUAAGGCCGGAGGUCAGUCUGUCCUUUCUUCCAUGGGUCCCAGCGCUUUGUCCCCAGCCAAUCAUGCCAGCUGUACAUGCCAGUUGUACGCAGGAUUUUCUUCUGGGCCUGGGACUUGGGCUGGACAAUGACCCUGAUGACCCCAGAGGCCAUUGGGGGCCAGGCUCCUUUGCUGCUGAACUUGCCUCCAGUUCGCACCCUUUCACUUGCUUUCUC
rnacentral:lncRNA from 10 species